rnacentral:rRNA from 1 species
GACAGAGGGUGCAAACGUUGUUCGGAAUUACUGGGCGUAAAGCGCGCGUAGGCGGAUCUGCAAGUCGGGGGUGAAAUCCCGAGGCUCAACCUCGGAACUGCCUUCGAUACUGCGGGUCUCGAGUCCGGGAGAGGUGAGUGGAAUUCCUAGUGUAGAGGUGAAAUUCGUAGAUAUUCGGAAGAACACCAGUGGCGAAGGCGGCUCACUGGCCCGGUACUGACGCUGAGGUGCGAAAGCGUGGGGAGCAAACAGG